rnacentral:lncRNA from 1 species
GUGAAAAUUGUAAUUUUAUAAGCUAUUUUAUCAUAAACUACCUUGAUAAAUUAAUAAUAAUAUAUAAAAAUUGCAUAAGUUGUUUACAUAAGCUCUAAAUAAGAGGAAAAAAAGUCAGGUCAAACGAUACAUAAAUAUGUUUUUGUUAACAAUAUGCCUUUCUUGUGGUAUUACAGGCAGCUAUUAAAUGUAGAGCUCUUGGAGCUAGGAGUGGUCUUCCAUAUCGCACCGAUCCAUACUUAGCAUCUUUUAUUAACUAAUCAUAUUUCAGUUUAUAAAUAACUAAUCAUUUAGCUCAAAUGCUUGUAUUGCUUUCUAUGUUUCUUGUUGUAAAUUAAAUUUCAAAGAUUUAGUGUAAUAAAUUUGUAAAGCAACAUAAUUAAAUAUUUUUAUUUUGGUUAGUAUAUUUAUUUAUAUGUUUUACAUACAAUUGCAUUCACAUGUAAAUGAUAUAUACACU